CCCCCAGCGCUGCCAUUGAGGAGCAUUUCCUCAGUGAGUGCAACAGGUUUGUUUGAAACAGACCGCAAUGGAGAGAUCAGCGCCCAGGGAAGCGAGGGAACAGCAGCACAUCGGGAUGGGAGCCUGGGACACAGAGGGGGCUCCGAGACCGGGAUUGAUUCGGGGCAGUACUCAAAGGACCAGGACAAUGUAAUAUUCCCUCAGUACAAGGCCAAGUGUGACCAGCUGCUUUGAACAAACAGCAGGUGGUGUUCCUGUGUCUUCCUCCAGAAAAACACCUGAGGGACUAAGACACUGUAAUACUUCCUCGGUUCAAAGCAAAGAGUGACCAGCUGCCUCUAACAAACAGAAGGGUUGUGAUUCAAAUUCAAAGAAGACAGAAGAUGUAACGAAUUAGAAUUGACAGUGGGGCGGUCGUGGUGUAUAAGAACACCAAGUAAAUUAAAGCUUCAUCAAUAUUA